UGCGUAGGCGGAAUAUUAAGUCAGUGGUGAAAUCCUGCGGCUCAACCGUAGAACGGCCAUUGAUACUGAUAUUCUUGAAUGUAGUUGAGGUAGGCGGAAUGUGUAAUGUAGCGGUGAAAUGCUUAGAUAUUACACAGAACACCGAUUGCGAAGGCAGCUUACUAAGCUAUGAUUGACGCUGAGGCACGAAAGCGUGGGGAGCGAACAGGAUUAGAUACCCUGGUAGUCC
rnacentral:rRNA from 1 species